rnacentral:lncRNA from 1 species
GCCCCCGGUCCUGAGCGUGCGCGGUGAGUGGCCCAGGCUAGGCCUAAUCCUGUUAGUCUCUUUGCUGCCAGCAGCUGCUCCCACCACUCAACUAUGGCCGCUCCCUUAAAGGGACCAUGACGAAGGGAUGAUGUCAGAAUGAAAGAUCUUAAUGGAAGGACUAUCUGGUGAAAUGUCAGUGAGGGGUUCACAUCACCACCCUACACCUGACUACAGAGAUAUUGCCAAAAGGAGAGAACCCUGAUGAGCCAAAGUUCUCAGUGACCCUAUGAACAUGAAGAAUCCCAACCAAGAAGAAAACAAGACUGUUAUCUGAAGGAGAAACCAACAGCUUGUCAAGUAAAGGGCGUCGACUCUCAAGGAACAACUUCCAACCUUAAAACCAGAUCCACUGGUAGUGUUGAAGGCAGAACCAAUAACUGAAGACAAUUUCCUCAAUACCUGCUUGCCAUUAGAAUACUAAAAUGAAAAAGGAUCUUAGAAACCAUCUACUCCAUUGCUUUCAAAGUUAACAUUGCCAGUAUGGUCAUUUGAAAUAAAUUAAUUUACCUCAAGAUAUCGAGUGGCUGGUGAGGAGCUAGAACACAGUCUGGAAUUGCAUUCCUCCAGGAUUCUGAACACACAAAACUGUCGUCAAGGCAAAAGAACAUAAAAUGUCAAGAGUCUUGAUAGUUCAAGAACAUGGCUGCUCUCCUGAGAAGUUUCAUGGUGAUGACCUGCAACUGCUGUGUGCCAUCAUUUGCCUCCACUGAAGGAAUUUGAGGGUCUGACUUAAAGAAUAGGAGCUUGAACUGUCAAGGCAGGAAAUCCAAGGGUAGGCACUAUCUUCCCUGAAGCACAACGAAGCCAAAGAUAAUGAGAGCUGAAGUCCCCUCUUGGAUUCUUAAUGAAGACAUAGGCACAACAGACAGACAUAUAGUAAAAAAUACAAGGAAAUUAGUUUAGGUUGGUUGGAGUUGGGUUGGUUGGAGUUGGAUUGGUUGGAGUUGGGUUGGUUGGAGCUAGGUUGCUAUGUAACCCAGAGUGGCCUGAAACUGCUGGUCUUCCUGCCUUGACCAAGUGCUUGGACUGCUGGUAUACUAGGAAAUCCCCAAAGAACUAAUUAAAAAAAAUGUUUAAGUCUCU